rnacentral:rRNA from 1 species
AUUGAACGCUGGCGGCAGGCCUCACACAUGCAAGUCGAGCGGCAGCGGGAAAGUAGCUUGCUACUUUUGCCGGCGAGCGGCGGACGGGUGAGUAAUGCCUGGGAAAUUGCCCUGAUGUGGGGGAUAACUACUGGAAACGGUAGCUAAUACCGCAUAAUGCCUUUGGGCCAAAGAGGGGGACCUUCGGGCAUCUCGCGUCAGGUUAUGCCCAGGUGGGAUUAGCUAGUUGGUGAGGUAAUGGCUCACCAAGGCGACGAUCUCUAGCUGGUCUGAAAGGUUGAUCAGCCACACUGGAACUGAGACACGGUCCAGACUCCGACGGGAGGCAGCAGUGGGUAAUAUUGCACAAUGGGGGAAACCCUGAUGCAGCCAUGCCGCGUGUGUGAAGAAGGCCUUCGGGUUGUAAAGCACUUUCAGCGAGGAGGAAAGGUUGGUAGCUAAUAAUUGCCAGCUGUGACGUUACUCGCAGAAGAAGCACCGGCUAACUCCGUGCCAGCAGCCGCCGUAA